GGGAAGGGCUUCCUGCUGAGCCACCUUUGAUCCCAGGUCUGAUCUGGGAGAGUGACCCUGGACAGCCGGCCCAGAGGGAGUUCAGACACCCAGAGCUUUCUCUGGUGGCCACCAUGGGCACCAAGCUCAGGGUCCUUCCCCAGCAUAGCUGUUUGGCCUUGGGCAAAUCACCACGCCCCUCCAAAUCCCCCACCUGUAAAGCAGGAUUAAAAAUGUGUAUCUCAGAGCAUCACCCACUCAUCAGAUGCGUAGUAAGCUCCUACUUUGUGCUUCAUUCUAGGGAUGAAGCCUGCCCAGGCUGUGGUGGGCUCUGGCCAGCAUCCCCCUGGCUGGUGGGCCAGGGAGUGAGAGGGGCCGGGAGGAGAGGAUGCUCGUAGACAGAGGCACAAAGCAUGUCCAGAGGUGGCUGCUAGGAGAUUUCCCAGCACUAGGGCUGUGACUCAGGCUGAAGCCUGAGCCCAGGCACUUCCUGGCUGGUGACUCAGUUUCCCCAAUUCUACAGCGGCAUCACACAACAUCUGCUUCUCAGCAUCGAAGAGGCGUUGAGGCAUGGCCGGUGAGCCUGAAAAGAUCAGGACUGCGACUCCCAUUUUACAGAGGGAUAACCUGAGGCUCAGUGAGGUGAAGGCAGUUCAAGAUCCUUGACAGAGGCUCUGGAUCACUGCGCUAGAAAGUGGUGGGGUGGGGAAAGACCGCUGGGCUUUCUGACUUCAGCAACACGUUCUCCAGUAACCAGACUUCCGAACAGUGGCAGACAGGGCCCUCUGCCUGGCAAGCACACACCACAGGACCUGUCCCACAGAGGGCCUCCCAGCCCGCUCUGCCAACCUCACCCACAGGCCCCCAAACUUGAGAGGGUUGACAUAGGCCAUGGAGACCUGUGCGAAUGUCUGCCUUCCCUACUCCAGUCGACCCCCUGCAUCACCCAGAGCACCAGGCCAGGGCCUGGAGUCACGCUCUCCUCUGCCCAGCACUGCCAGGAAGGCAGAAGGUGAGACACAGGAGAGAAUGCAUGGCGAGAGUGGGCAUUUAUUUGGCACGUCCUAGGUGGGCUGGGCUGCUCGAUGAGAUUUUAGGUAUAUUAUCACCAUCAGGAAGAUUCUAGAGGUAAUGAAACUGACAUCCAAGAGGGGAGGUGACCUCUCCAGGGUCUCCACCCUGUGCGCCUCAGUUCCCCCAACUGUGACAUUGGAUGAAGGAGCUCAUGCUCAGGGAGGCUGGGAGGGGUCCUGAGGAGGGCUCAGAGCAAGGCCUUGGGACAGCAUAGUCCCUGCAAGGGAGUGACCGCUAGGGGCCUUCCUGGGAGCCUGCUGUGCCCUCAGCCCCAGCCCUGCCCACCCUCCCUUUCCCUCUCUGCCUUUCUCCAGAGCACGGCUCAGCCCUUUGGGGCUCUGCACUUUGGGGCCAGAGAGACCUGAGUUAGAAUCCAGACCUGCCACUCACUGGUUAUGCGACCUGGGCUGAGCGGUUCUUUUUCUCUGAGUCUCAGUUUCCUCAUCUGUCUGCGUAAAUAAAUGAGGGUAAUAACCAGCCGCAUUUCAAGGGGUCUGGAGGUUAGGACAUCAUAUCUUUCAAGUACCUGGUACGCUGUCUGACGCAGAGUAACCAUUUAAUAAAGCGGAGCUGUUGUUGCUGUCGCUGUCAUUGUUGGCGUUUAUUUAUGAAUGUCGAGGCGGCAGGUGGGCCUUGGUGGGACUGUACGGACAUUUCCCGGAUGCCCGGAAGGUGGCGCUAGAGACCCCCUUGUCGGCUCCCAAGAGAGCGCUAAGCAUGGUCUUCACAUCAUCGGGAAGAAGCCAAACUUAG
rnacentral:lncRNA from 10 species